CCUACUCUCCUAACCCCUUCUCCAACAAUCGACGCUCUCAAACCCUCAUCUCCCAAAACCCUUCUCUCCUCCCUACAAAAACUGACCGAUCCUCUCUCUCUCUCUCUCUCUCUCUCUCUUUGUUUAUUGAGGUUUGGUGGUGUUUUCGUAGGGUGUAUAGCAAUGCAGAGGGAAAAUAACAGGAGAGGAAGUACAAGAGGUGAGGAUUUUUCUUCUCUUCUUCCAUAUGCAGCCAUGGCGAGUGCUUUUACGAACAAGCUAUUGAAGUCGAAAGAACAAGCAGAAGAAUACCCCUUUUUUAUCAUGGAAGAACUCAACCCUAAAAAUUUCGGCUACAUCACGGUACACCGUGCUUCCAAUCAUAGCCCAAAUCAUCAAGGACAUGCCUCAACAAUUGAAAGUGAGGCUUCUAGAGGAAGUGGGAGAGCAUGAUAGAGAACGGAUAUUGUCUGGUGCAACAACAUAAAGGAUGACAACUAUUGAGGAAAUGGUGGGCAUGUAUGUGUUGUGUGGACAAUGAACAACACUGAUAAGAGCACUUUCCAAGCUCAUUAUUUAUCUUAACAACCUAGAUCUGGUUCUUUUAGCUGGAGAGGCACUGAUCAGGUUUUGAAUUUGUUGCAACUUUAUUGUACUCGCUACAUCAAAAUCAUGCUUUUCAAUUCCCUUCUAUUGGAGAAGAAAGAAAACAGCAGCCAUGCAAGAAAACAAAAUAUAUGGUUAACUAAUGAGACAUUGAUAGAAUUACAGUUCAGAAACAAAAUAUGUUCUUAUACUUGUUUGCCUUUUAAAGAAUUCGGAAAGAUGGGUAUUGAUUUUUUAUUUUAUUUUUAGAAUUUUUUAAUUUUGAACAGGUUGGGCUGUUGAUUGUAGAUGGGUACUACAACAGCUUGCUUGCUCUGUUUGACCACUAAUGUAAGAAAUUUAGAUGGGUACUACAUCCAAAGCUAGCCUAAGUUAUUUCUUCUGGUUCAUUGAAUUUUGAGACCAGUAGCUCUCAAACUAUAGUUAACCUGU